UACGGGGGGGGCAAGCGUUGUUCGGAAUUACUGGGCGUAAAGGGCUUGUAGGCGGCCAACUAAGUCAUACGUGAAAUCCCUCGGCUUAACCGGGGAGCUGCGUCUGAUACUGGAUGGCUUGAGAUUGGGAGAGGGAUGCGGAAUUCCAGGUGUAGCGGUGAAAUGCGUAGAUAUCUGGAGGAACACCGGUGGCGAAGGCGGCAUCCUGGACCAACACUGACGCUGAGGAGCGAAAGCCAGGGGAGCAAACGGG
rnacentral:rRNA from 1 species